CCUACGGGUGGCAGCAGUGAGGAAUAUUGGACAAUGGACGGAAGUCUGAACCAGCCAUGUCGCGUGCAGGAAGACGGCUCUAUGAGUUGUAAACUGCUUUUGUACAAGGGUAAACCUGAAUACGUGUAUUCAGCUGAAAGUACUGUACGAAUAAGGAUCGGCUAACUCCGUGCCAGCAGCCGCGGUAAUACGGAGGAUCCAAGCGUUAUCCGGAUUUAUUGGGUUUAAAGGGUGCGUAGGCGGAUUGAUAAGUUAGAGGUGAAAUGUCCGAGCUUAACUCGGGAACUGCCUCUAAUACUGUUGGUCUAGAGAGUAGAUGCGGUAGGCGGAAUGUAUGGUGUAGCGGUGAAAUGCUUAGAGAUCAUACAGAACACCGAUUGCGAAGGCAGCUUACCAAUCUAUAUCUGACGUUGAGGCACGAAAGCGUGGGGAGCAAACAGGAUUAGAUACCCGAGUAGUC
rnacentral:rRNA from 1 species